GUGUCAGCAGCCGCGGUAAUACGUAGGGGGCAAGCGUUGUCCGGAUUUAUUGGGCGUAAAGAGCGUGUAGGCGGCCAUGCAGGUCCGUUGUGAAAACUCGAGGCUCAACCUCGAGACGCCGAUGGAAACCGCAUGGCUAGAGUCCGGAAGAGGAGAGUGGAAUUCCUGGUGUAGCGGUGAAAUGCGCAGAUAUCAGGAAGAACACCCGUGGCUAAGGCGGCUCUCUAGUACGGUACUGACGCUGAGACGCGAAAGCGUGGGGAGCGAACAGGAUUAGAAACCCGCGUAGUCC
rnacentral:rRNA from 1 species